GCCAUGUUGCCGCUACGCAGUUUAUUUACUAACCGUUGAACCGUCGCUACUCUAGCUUUCACAAUAAGCUUCACUGUUUAAAAAAAGUGUGUUUAUUCCGCGCUCUCCGCCGCUGUUGCGAGUAUUUACGGAUUACUUUUUGCUUCCUUCAAGCUGUCCUCUCUGUUGGCAAAAUCAGACCUUCAACACCCAACAUGAUUCCUAAAAGACCUGCUUUACUUCACAAAGCCAGACAGACAAAGUGGCAUUUCCUGACUGUUCCCAUCCCCGUCUGAGUUAUCUGACACCCAAAAAUACGGCUACGGGGAAGCAGGGAGACGAGGCACCACAGCCUUAUCCCGUCACCUGACCAAACGCCAUGCAAAUCACUCUGCUGCUAGAGCCUCAUUGGCCGCUUGUGGCUCAUUUAACCGCUGUCAGUGCGCAUCAUAUGGCCGCCGCUUUAACCAACUUCUCAACUCCGACAAGGGAAAGUGGCUCCAAUGCGCAUUCUGUCACAGUGGA